GUGGUUUUCUACUUUAAAGGAGUUAGCAUUAGCAUGCUACCCGCUGCUAAGUUAUGUGGCUAACAGUGAAGCUAACCGCCGAGCUGGUUUAAGGACGUUCUUCUUACCUGCCGAGCCUCGCUUCAGUUCAAUUUCCACCACGUUGGAGUGCAGGGAGCCAUUCAUGUUUUUCUUUCAAAAGCGUACAAACUCUUUAUGCUAUUACAGCUUCAACUCUUCUGGGAAGGCUGUCCACAAGGUUGCGGAGUGUGUUUAUAGGAAUUUUUGACCAUUCUUCCGAAAGCGCAUUGGUCAGGACUCUGUGCAGGCCAGUCAAGUUAAUCCGCACCAGACUCUGUCAUCCAUGUCUUUAUGGACCUUGCUUUGUGCACUGGUGCACAGUCAUGUUGGAAGAGGAAGGGGCCCGCUCCAAACUGUUCCCACAAGGUUGGGAGCAUGGAAUUGUCCAAAAUGUUUUGGUAUCUUGGAGCAUUCAAAGUUCCUUUCACUGGAACUAAGGGGCCAAGCCCAACUCCGGAAAAACAACCCCACAUCAUAAUUCCUCCUCCACCAAAUUUCACACUCAGCACAAUGCAGUCUGAAACAUAGCGUUCUCCUGGCAACCUCCAAACCCAGACUCCUCCAUCAGAUUGCCAGAUGGAAAAGGGUGAUUCAUCAGUCCAGAGAAGGCGUCUCCACUGCUCUAGAGUCCAGUGGCGACGUGCUUUACACCACUGCAUCCCACGCUUUGCAUUGGACUUGAUGUAUGACUUAGAUGCAGCUGCUUGGCCAUUGAAACCCAUUUCAUGAAGCUCCCUGCGUAGUGUACGAGGGCUGAUUGGAAGGUCACAAGAAGCUUGGAGCUCUGUAGCAACUGAGUGUGCAGAAAGCCGGCAACCUCUUUGCACUAUGUGCUUCAGCAUCCGCUGACCCCUCUCUAGUCAGUUUACGUGGCCUACCACUUCGUGGCUGAGUUGCUGUUGUUCACAAACUCUUCCAUGUUCUUAUAAUAAAGCCGACAGUUGACUUUGGCCAGUGUCAGCUAUAACUACUUUGCAUAUCAGAACGAUGAACCAGAAAAGUGGAUACUUUGACUCAUUCAAUAGUUGUGUUGUCAGUGGAAUGAUGCUGUAUCUGCAUGUGCAUUAAAAACUGCUCUUCGAUGAAUGGCUCGUUACUGAUAAUAGGUUCUCCAUCGUUUACUUGAAAGAGCCGUUCAAAACUCUCGACUUGUUCGCUAAUGUCACAUCUCCAGUGAGUGUGUUUGCUUGUUUAAAUGGUAUUUUCGUGUCAUUUUAUAGUGCCUGUAAGUCAUACAUGUACUAAAUACAUUUCUACAGUUUUUUAUUCAUUUAUAAAUAUAAUAAUUUAUUUGGACAGGU